UUUGGUGGAGGCACCAAACUCAUCGUUGACUUGGGAGUGGUGCAGCCCACGCUGAGCGUCCUCCCUCCCUCCAGAGUGGAGCUGGAGCAGGGCAGUGCUACACUAGUGUGUGUGGCCAGUGGGGGCUUCCCCUCAGACUGGAAGCUUGGCUGGAAGGUCGGGGGCAGCAGCAGGUCUGGGGGGGUGUCAGAUAGCCUGGGGGUCCUGGGGAAAGAUGGCCACUACAGCUGGAGCAGCACCUUGACCCUCCCUGCAGACCAGUGGAGGAAGGCGCGCUCAGUGAGCUGUGAGGCCAGUAAGAAUGGCCAGACGCAGCCUGUCACUCAAACCCUGAAUCCUGACCAGUGUUCAGAGUAGAGAGGCUCCAGCAUGGAGGUACUGGAGGAUACAGAUCUCCUCUGACACGUCUGCUUUAUGUCUCUCUGUCUCAGGUGGCACUGCAGCUUUUGAUGAUUUACAUUAAUAAUAACAUGUCUGAUUCAUUAACGUUAUGCUUUCAGAUAUUUACCCAUUGCUUGUGUUGGUCACAUGUUGAACAUUUAAUAAAGAUAUAAAGAAUAAA